rnacentral:rRNA from 1 species
AUACGUAGGGUGCGAGCGUUGUCCGGAAUUACUGGGCGUAAAGAGCUCGUAGGUGGUUUGUCGCGUCGUCUGUGAAAUUCCGGGGCUUAACUCCGGGCGUGCAGGCGAUACGGGCAUAACUUGAGUACUGUAGGGGAGACUGGAAUUCCUGGUGUAGCGGUGAAAUGCGCAGAUAUCAGGAGGAACACCGGUGGCGAAGGCGGGUCGCUGGGGAGUAACUGACGCUGAGGAGCGAAAGCAUGGGUAGCGAACAGGAUGAGAUACCUUGGUAGUCCAUGCCGUAAACGGUGGGCGCUAGGUGUAGGGGUCUUCCACGACUUCUGUGCCGUAGCUAACGCAUUAAGCGCCCCGCCUGGGGAGUACGGCCGCAAGGCUAAAACUCAAAGGAAUUGACGGGG